GUACCGGUGAGUGGCGGACGGGUGAGUAACACGUAGGUGAUCUGCCCCGGAGUGGGGAACAACUGCUCGAAAGGGCGGCUAAUUCCGCAUGAUGUCUAGCCCUUAGGGGCUAGAGCAAAGGGCCUCGGCCCGCUCUGGGAGGAGCCUGCGGCCGAUUAGCUAGUUGGUGGGGUAAUGGCCUACCAAGGCGACAAUCGGUAGCUGGUCUGAGAGGAUGAUCAGCCACACUGGAACUGACACACGGUCCAGACUCCUACGGGAGGCAGCAGUGAGGAAUAUUGCGCAAUGGGGGCAACCCUGACGCAGCAACGCCGCGUGAGCGAUGAAGGCCUUCGGGUUGUAAAGCUCUUUUCCAAGGGAAGAGGAAGGACGGUACCUUGG
rnacentral:rRNA from 1 species